rnacentral:rRNA from 1 species
UGCAAGUCGAGCGGUAGCACAAGAGAGCUUGCUCUCUGGGUGACGAGCGGCGGACGGGUGAGUAAUGUCUGGGAAACUGCCUGAUGGAGGGGGAUAACUACUGGAAACGGUAGCUAAUACCGCAUGACGUCUUCGGACCAAAGUGGGGGACCUUCGGGCCUCACGCCAUCAGAUGUGCCCAGAUGGGAUUAGCUAGUAGGUGGGGUAAUGGCUCACCUAGGCGACGAUCUCUAGCUGGUCUGAGAGGAUGACCAGCCACACUGGAACUGAGACACGGUCCAGACUCCUACGGGAGGCAGCAGUGGGGAAUAUUGCACAAUGGGCGCAAGCCUGAUGCAGCCAUGCCGCGUGUAUGAAGAAGGCCUUCGGGUUGUAAAGUACUUUCAGCGAGGAGGAAGGCAUUAAGGUUAAUAACCUUAGUGAUUGACGUUACUCGCAGAAGAAGCACCGGCUAACUCCGUGCCAGCAGCCGCGGUAAUACGGAGGGUGCAAGCGUUAAUCGGAAUUACUGGGCGUAAAGCGCACGCAGGCGGUUGAUUAAGUCAGAUGUGAAAUCCCCGAGCUUAACUUGGGAACUGCAUUUGAAACUGGUCAGCUAGAGUCUUGUAGAGGGGGGUAGAAUUCCAGGUGUAGCGGUGAAAUGCGUAGAGAUCUGGAGGAAUACCGGUGGCGAAGGCGGCCCCCUGGACAAAGACUGACGCUCAGGUGCGAAAGCGUGGGGAGCAAACAGGAUUAGAUACCCUGUAGUCCACGCUGUAAACGAUGUCGACUUGGAGGUUGUGCCCUUGAGCGUGGCUUCCGGAGCUAACGCGUUAAGUCGACCGCCUGGGGAGUACGGCCGCAAGG